rnacentral:sRNA from 1 species
CUGACAGCCUUGGAAACCAAACUCCUCAAUUUAUACAAAGAAUAAGUACAGCAUGGGCAAUGGCACUACAAGCUUCCCCACACUCUCCCCCCCAUUGUUCCUCACCUCUGCCCAGCCAGCCUGUCCAUUCAGGCUCUUCCCAUGUAUUUUCCACAGCAGUUUUUAUACUGGAUCAU